ACAGAGGGCUCAAGCGUUAAUCGGAAUCACUGGGCUUAAAGGGUCCGCAGGCGGAUUGGAAAGUAUCUUGUGAAAUACCACGGCUCAACCGUGGAACUGCUCGGUAAACUUCCAAUCUUGAACACGGUAGGGGCCAUCGAAACUGUGGUGAGCGGUGAAAUGCGUAGAUAUCUAGAGGAACGCCAGAGGCGAAGGCGGAUGGCUGGGCCGUUGUUGACGCUCAGGGACGAAAGCAUGGGUAGCGAACGGGAUUAGAUACCCCGUGUC
rnacentral:rRNA from 1 species